UCACUGUCUUGUUCUGCUGUCUUUGUGUA
rnacentral:piRNA from 1 species